GGAUAUUACUGGGUAUGUUGCUGUUUGGAUGUUAUGAAAAACUGUAGAUGAGACAGUUACACAUUGGAGCUUUCGGAGGAAUAACCAUUGUGCAGCUUUUGGUUAAUUUGGAAUCGAAGGAAUAGAAGAAUGCUUUUGUAACAAUAAAAGAGACGUAAACAAAAGAAACGUAAUCAUCUUUCUGCCUUCACAUGUAUUUUCUUUCUUUUGACUAAAUUAAAAUAUUAUCAUCUUCGAAAUCUACCAUCUAUGGCACUUAUUCUUCUGAACUGUAUUUUACUACAAGGUCAUAGUCAAUAGAAGAUCAAAGUUUUCACUAACAUAUAUGCACAUCAUCUUCGAAAUCUACCAUCUGUGGCACUUAUUCUUCGGAACUGUAUUUUACUACAAGGUCAUAGUCAAAGAAGAUCAAAGUUUUCACUAACAAAUAUGCAAAAUGAGGAUAAAGCUAAGAAUGUUUGCUGGCGGCUGCAAUGCCUCGUAAUCAGAACAUGGGGCUUUAAGA
rnacentral:lncRNA from 1 species